CCUCAAAUCAGGUAGGACUACCCGCUGAACUUAAGCAUAUCAAUAAGCGGAGGAAAAGAAACUAACGAGGAUUCCCCUAGUGACUGCGAGUGRAGCGGGAAGAGCUCAAAUUUAAAAUCUGGCAGUUUUGCUGUCCGAGUUGUAAUCUAGAGAAGUGUUUUCCGCGCUGGACCGUGUACAAGUCUCUUGGAAUGGAGCGUCGUAGAGGGUGACAAUCCCGUCUUUGACACGGACUGCCGGUGCUUUGGUGAUGCGCUCUCAAAGAGUCGAGUUGUUUGGGAAUGCAGCUCAAAAUGGGUGGUAAACUCCAUCUAAAGCUAAAUACAGGCGAGAGACUGAUAGCGAACAAGUACCGCGAGGGAAAGAUGAAAAGAACUUUGAAAAGAGAGUUAAACAGUACGUGAAAUUGUUGAAAGGGAAACGAUUCAAGUCAGCCGCGUUGGUCGGAAAUCAACCUCACACUCUUGUGAGGCUCACUUUCUGGUUGACGGGUCAGCAUCAAUUUUGACCGUCGGAUAAAGUCCUGGGGAAUGUGGCAUCUUUGGAUGUGUUAUAGCCCCUUGUCGCAUGCGAUGGUUGGGAUUGAGGAACGCAGCACGCCGUCAAGGUCGGGGCCUUCGGGCUCACGUACACGUGCUUUGGAUGCUGGCAUAAU
rnacentral:rRNA from 1 species